AAUCAACGCUGGCGGCGUGCCUAACACAUGCAAGUCGCACGAGAAAGCGGACUUCGGUCUGCAAGUACAGUGGCGCACGGAUGAGUAACACGUGAAUUAUCUACCUUCGAGUGGGGAAUAACCUCGGGAAACCGAGGCUAAUACCGCAUAACACUUACGAGUCAAAGCAGCAAUGCGCUUGAAGAGGAGUUCGCGGCAGAUUAGUUAGUUGGCGGGGUAAUGGCCCACCAAGACGAUGAUCUGUAUCCGGCCAGAGAGGGCGCACGGACACACUGGAACUGAAACACGGUCCAGACUCCUACGGGAGACAGCAGUGGGGAAUUUUGCGCAAUGGGGGAAACCCUGACGCAGCAACGCCGCGUGGAGGAUGAAAUCCCUUGGGAUGUAAACUCCUUUCGAUCGGGACGAUUAUGACGGUACCGGAAGAAGAAGCCCCGGCUAACUUCGUGCCAGCAGCCGCCGUAACAC
rnacentral:rRNA from 1 species